GUCAAGCUACUACUAUAAAUCCCAACAAAAUACUUAGCCCAUGUUAAAUAAAUGAUAAUCAAGGAGAAUAUUCAUCCAAUGUUUUAAAAAUAUGGCUAAAUAAUGGAGAAAAUACAAAGAUAUAGAUAAAACCCUUUUUUGUAGAUUGGUUAUGAUUUCCCCAAGAUUUCUCCACCUUAAUGUAUUCUCCUUUGUUGUGUUCCUUGAUUUAAUCCUCAAAAUGCUACGUAAAAUGAAAAUAAAAAGAAAAGAAAAGAAAAGAAAAUGAAAAUAAAAUAAAAAAGAAAAAACCAGUAGAAGAUGGAACCAGCAGAAGACGGA
rnacentral:lncRNA from 1 species